CUUGGAGUUUCUGUCUGAGUCGGCGCCUUCCCAGCCUGGCUGUCUGCUCCCUUCUGGGACCUGUCGGGAUAAGCAGAUCAGGGAGUAUUUUGAGCCGAAAGGUACAUGGGGAAGCUGGGACUGACAGAAAAUUCCCGUUGCCUGUCUGCAUUUUCCCAUGAAUUUUUCUUUGUGCUCGUGCUCUCAGGAAUUCAGCCUCUGAAUCCCUCCUGGGCCUGGGGCGGAGCAGGGUGAACACGUACGGAGUACGGAAGUGUACGGAAGCGUAAACACAGCGGCAGACCUCAGCCUGCAGCUCAGCCCUGCAGUCUCCGGGGCAACGCGCCGUGUGGGGACAUUGUCUCUCACUUGAAAAACUGCUUACAGGCCCCCACUGCAUCCGCGUCGUGGGUUUAAAGCGGAUUAGUGGGAGGGCUGGUGGUUCGGGGGCUGGCAGGGCCUCCCAGCGGGGGCAGCCCCUUCACGUGGUGGCGAGCUUGGUAGUGACGACGGGCAGGCUGCUGUGCUCCAGGCAGGUGGCUGGAGCUGGGCGUGGGGUGUCUCUCCAUGAGGACUGUCUGCCCUGCCUGCUGCUCUCAAGGCCUCUGGGUUUCGCACCACACUCUCCACAGCUUCCUAUUCUGCUGGGAGGAAGGUCCCAGGGCACGGGAGGGACCCUGUCUAGACUGAAGCUAGGCUGCCCCAUUUCAGGUCACGGCUGCCCCAUCUCGGGUCACGGCUGCCCCAUCUCGGGUCACGGCAGCCCCAUCUCGGGUCACGGCUGCCCCAUCUCAGGUCACGGUAUCCCCAUCUCGGGUCACAGCAGCCCCCUUCAGGUGAACAUGGCCAAGGUGCAGCUCUUCUCCCAGCCUGAGGCGGAGCCUGUCGUCAGCAAGUACCCAGCAUCCAGUUGCUUCUCAUGGCCUCCACCCCGGCCAUGCUGGUCCAAGCCACUGCUGUCUCAGGCCUGGACUGGUGCAGCUCCUGCUGUCACCCUCUGUGGGGCAGCCUCACACGGCUCAUGGCACCCCUGCUGGUGCUCAGUCCUCGUGCACUCCCUCCCUUGAGCAUGUGCAGGACCUGUGGCUCAUCUGGAAUGAAUAGAAAACAGCAAAAGCAAUGGGAUGUCACUUCCAAAUCCGGUCACAGAAAGACCCUGUGUCCGUCUUGCUCGUCCCUCUCACCCUCUCCCACGGUCUGGUGAAGCCAGCAGCUGUGCUGAGAGCUGCCAUGGGGCAAGAGACUGAGGGUGGCCUCCAGCUAAACCCCAGUGAGGAGCUGAGGCCCUAAAGAACUGAAUCCUGCCCAGAACUACAUGCCUGAGCUUGGAGGCCGGUUCUUCCCCAGUGGAGCUGUCAGAUGAGACCCCUGCCCAGCUGAGCCCAGAUUGAGCCUGAGACCCUGAGCCUGGGGAUCCAGCCAAGCCACACCUGAUCCUUGAUCUAAGGAAAAACGGGAGCUGAUAAGUGUGGGACCCUUUGUGAUGCAGGAGAUUCAUCAGCAUCAGGUCCUCCCAGCUGCUGACCUCCCCCCGCUGCCACUGGGAUGCAUACUCCACAAGGGCAGGGUUCUCCUGCGUCUUCUUUCUCCCCUGCAGCACCCCUAGGGCCUGGAGCAGUGUCUGACCCAUGGCGGAGUCUCAGCAAACGUUUGUUCAAGGAAUAAACUGCGGGAGUGGAGGGCAAAUCUGCGUGUGAGCCCGUGCCUGCAUUGCCGUGACAAUGUGAGCAGGUGCCCCGAUCCGCCCCGGCAGAGGCCUCCCCCGCCCAGCAUGUUUCGCCACAUCUCCUCCUCUGGCCAACUGAGUCCUCACAGAAAGGUGUGUCAAAGGGGUCAUCCCUCUGCCUGUGUCCCUGAGUGAGGACAAACAGCAGGUCCCCUGAGGACGUGUGAGAGCAGUUGCUUGAGUGAGAGAUACGCCUUCACCAUUGAAGGCACUGAGUCUGGGGACUGUUUGUUAGAGCAGCAGAACCGAGCAGCCCUGACAGCACAGAAAGCAGCUCCAAGAAACGAGGUGCUGCCACAGCCACAGGGCACCUGGAGCAUGUGUCCUGCUCACAUGGAGGACAGAGGGGAGGCGGGCAGAGGCCGGAGCGCACUCCGUGUGGAACACUCGGUCAGACUGGACCGGCAACUUGGAAGUCGGACCAUGAAGCUGAUGAAACCGCAGCUCUAGGGAAAGGCUGGAAACUCGCAUGUCAGCAGACACGGCAGUGAAAUGUUUUGAGGAGUCAGACCCAGACGGUAAUUGUCCAUCCUGCCAGCAAGCGUGAAAGUGAACAAGGAGAUUUCAAAAUAUUAAACUCCCAGAAAGUUGGAAGAGCUGGCUGACUGUAGACCAUGAUCAUGCAAAUGCAGCUUCUGAGAAAAGUUUCAUGCAGGACACGGUGUCACAGCCCUGGUUCCUCUCCCGUGGAUCGAGGCAUCUCAUGGUGAAGGUGAAGUGGGGGUGCUUUUCACUUGGACAAAACAGCGCAGGGAAAGCGACUAGCUAGAGAGAAGGGGAUGACGUCCCUGAAACUCAGCCGAGCCAUUGGUGUGGGCAGAAGGCUCUGCGGCCCCGGGAGGGUUGAUGGCAGAGGAGCUGCAGGGGUGGCUGCUGCAUGUGGAGCUGGCUGAAGUCAGAGACGAGAAAGCUCCUGGGGUCUUGAGAGAGUCACGAUGACAGGACGGCACCCAUUCAGUCUACAAGAGAAACGUGUGCAUCAAUGGAAACCACCACUAACCCCUGUGACCAGGAGGUGGGCGGCAAACCCUGACCCGCCCUGAGGAAGGCGUCCUGGGUACCCACCUCAUACUGGCCGAGAAGGGUCAUGGAGGAAUCAGAAACCUCUUGGAGGGCAGAGCCAGAGACCUCGGAGGACGGCGGAAAAGGAGGUGACCUUCAGGAGGAACUGAACCUGGACUGAGUGAAGGAGCGUGGACCAGCACCAGGGUGGGCGCUCAGCAGCCUUCCCAAGGGUUUCAGGUCCUCCGUGCACCAGCGACUGCUGCCAUCUCCCUUCUCUCUCUCCCUGCUGCUGGGGCUCGUCGUGUCCAUUCCCUGCCGUCUGCUGUGUGCCGAGCGUGAGGGAGGCAGUGACCAAUCUCUUCAGUCCGUGAGUCUCCAGUGAAGAGGUGUCUGGGGUCACCCAGACCCUAUAUGGCCGUGAUUUGGGGUCGUCUCACCUGGGGAGCCAUGAUGGGGAGUGAACACAGUUGAUUAGUCCAGAGGGCAGACGUGGAAGUCAGUGACGCCGCCCACGAAUAUUUUGGUCUCCUUUUCCAGAUACAUUUAGGAUUAUGCUUUCCCUCUCUCUCCAAGUUAGGCUUGGCCAUGUGACCUGCUUUGGCCAGUGAAAUUCUAGCCUUUAAACAUGAGUUCAUGAAGCUUCCUGCUUUGGGGAUUGUGGAUGUGUGUUGACACUGCGGUCCCUGUCCCCCAGUGAUGACAAAUAGCAAAGGCCCCUGCUGGCCCACACUGGACACCUGUGUGAGAAAGAAGUGCAUCUGCGAAGUGCUCAGCUGCUGUGGUGUGGGGCUGUUUGUUACACAGCCCGGCCAAGACCAGCCUGACUGAUACACUCCCUCAAGCAUGAAUAGGGCUCUGCUUCUCCAAUGAGGGGAGUGGGACCCAGGGCUGUUUCUCAGCAAUGUCCAGAACACCUUACUCCUACGUCCCCCAGAAACAAUGACAAGAAACACCACGGGAGGCGUCUGAGGAGGAGCUGGUUGCAGCAGGAUGGGCACAGCUCUGCCCUGCUGAGGAAGGGCUUGACGAUCCCCCAGGGCCCUGUCCCCGAGAGAGGGGCUGGUCUCCUGAGCAGUGUCCUGGAUCGGGGCUGGCGCAUGAGUAGAAGUGGGCCCAGCCCCCCCCCCCCCCAAGCCGGGGGGGGGGGGGCCCCCCCCCACAGCCCACCAGGUGCCAGUGACUGACGGGCCCACCACUGUCUUCACAGCCCCCCGAGUUCUCUGGUAACCAUAGGCAUGGAACAUGUGCCAGGAACCUUUGGUUUGCAUGUACCUUUAGAUGCUUGGAUUAAAUUACACCCAUAAUACAUUA